rnacentral:rRNA from 1 species
GUCCACGCCGUAAACGAUGGAGGCUAGCCGUUGGCGGGUUUACUCGUCAGUGGCGCAGCUAACGCAUUAAGCCUCCCGCCUGGGGAGUACGGUCGCAAGAUUAAAACUCAAAGGAAUUGACGGGGGCCCGCACAAGCGGUGGAGCAUGUGGUUCAAUUCGAAGCAACGCGAAGAACCUUACCAGCCUUUGACAUGCCUCGUAUGGUCGCCAGAGAUGGCUUCCUUCCCGCAAGGGGCGAGAGCACAGGUGCUGCAUGGCUGUCGU